UCUCUGAGAGUUUAUAGUGCUGUGAGUUUAACACUUCAUAACUCAACACAACACACAAAACUAAACAUCAACAAUGACCUUCACCAUCAUCUUCAUCUCAACACUUUUAUUCUCGUUUCAAGGGUGUAAAUCACAGAUCACAGUAACUCAAAGUCCUUCAGUGAAACUUGCAGCACGAGAAGACUCUGUUACUCUGAGAUGUUCUCUAUCACAUGAUACUUCAAGCUGUAGUCCACCCUGUGUGUCCUGGUACUUACAGAAACCUGGAGAAGCUCAUAAACUCCUGAUAUAUCGGACCAAAACCCUUCAGUCUGGAACUCCAUCAAGAUUCAGUGGCAGUGGAUCAAACACAGAUUUGACCUUGAGCAUCAGCAGAGUUCAGACUGAAGAUGCAGGAGAUUAUUACUGUAUAAGUGCAAAUGUCGUCAGUGGUAGCUAUGUGUUCACACAGUGA